UUAUUAUUAUUAUUAUUUAUUAUUCAAUGAUUUAUGGAGCAAUUGCAAAGUUAGGACAUUUUAUUAUUCAAUUUCAAUGACCCAAAUUUCCUUCAAAAUUCAAAUCAUGCUUAAGAAGAUCAAGUCAGAUUAUUGGUUCGUACACUUUAAUUCAUGACUCAUAAUUUAUCCCAUGCCAUCCACCAAAACCCUUCUGCUUGCUUAGCCAAUUCCGCCAAACCAUCCUCUAAACCCUUUUUUAUGAUUCCAAUUCUCCGAAGCCUAUCAAAAUCCACGCCCUUUUCAUUCUCCAAGCUCACACUCAUGGAUUCAUCAUCCAGCUCAGGCUCAAAGAAACUGGCGGCCUUGGCCCAACAUCUCCGUCUCUACAAGGCAACACCAACCAUGAGGGACUUGGAUGAGCAAAUCCUCGAAGAAAACGUCGGAAAGGUUGUUUCCCAAGUGGGUUUUGCAGAAUCAGCCACCCCAAUUGCCCAACAAGACCCACAAAGAAUCAGAGCCCACAAGACCCGGAAAGCCGCUGUUUUGAUCUGUCUCUUUGAAGGUGACAAUGGAGACCUGCGUGUCAUUCUCACCAAACGCUCUUCCAACCUCUCCACUCACUCGGGUGAAGUUGCAUUGCCAGGUGGGAAAGCAGAGGAGGGGGAUAAGGAUGAUGGAGACACUGCCACAAGGGAGGCAAAGGAGGAGAUUGGAUUGGAUCCUUCGCUUGUCAAUGUUGUCACUUCUCUUGAACCAUUUUUGUCUAAGCACCUCCUGAGAGUGGUUCCUGUUAUUGGCAUACUUAAUGAAAAGAAAGCAUUCAAGCCUGCCCCCAAUCCUGAUGAAGUGGAAGCAGUAUUUGAUGCUCCCUUGGAAAUGUUUAUCAAGGGUGAAAAUAGGAGAACAGAGGAGAGUGAGUGGAUGGGACACAAGUAUCUAAUUCAUUACUUUGAUUAUGAAAUGGAGAAUAAGAAGUAUCUGAUAUGGGGUUUAACGGCUGGGAUCUUGAUAAGGGCUGCAUCAGUUGUGUACAAACAGCCACCAGCUUUUCUGGAACAGAAUCCCAUUUUCAAGGUUUCUAGAGAUACUGAUAAAGAUAUUAAAAUGCCUUGACUUCAAGGGAAAUACUGUGGGUUGUAAUGAUGUAUACUCAUUCUUCUGCUAUAAUGUCCAUCUCAACCUGUGGUUGUUGGACUAUUAUAAUGUAUUCAAGAUAAUUGUUUUAGAUGUACUGAAAAAAAACAGAGAAGCUGAAACAUUGCUCUAGUUAGAUGUAUUUAAACUGAAGAGGCUGAAAUAUUUCAGACCGGAGGAGGCAACUGGCAUUGGGUGUCAAGGAGAUCUCAGCUGUGAGUAAAUUAUCUGAACAAAGAAGUUGGAGUCACCCUCUUCACCAUUGCUCAGGACCUGAUCUCAAGAACAAAGAGCCUAUCUGGUUAUUGAUUAACACAAUUGACAAGCUUAUCAGCAUCAAUAAUUUUUCCUCAUUGUUUUACAAAGGGAAGAACAAUUGAGUUUACUCUUAUCAAUGCUGAGGUGUUACUUGCCAGGGUAAUCUUGCAUUUGUUAUGAUAAUGAACAUGAAAGCCCAUGUACAAAUUUCUCUUCUUAUUUUGUAUGAUUGAAAAAAAAAAAUUGUUAAAAAGGAAUUCUCAAGCCUAAAGAUUACAAAAACUUGAAGUUGUUGCCAUUUCAAAAACAAAAAAGAAAUUGCUGGAUUUUAAUUGAAUGAAGCUUUAGAACUCCUUUUUGCCUAUGA